rnacentral:rRNA from 1 species
GACGAACGCUGGCGGCGUGCUUAACACAUGCAAGUCGAACGGAAAGGCCCUGCUUGCCGGGUACUCGAGUGGCGAACGGGUGAGUAACACGUGGGUGAUCUGCCCUGCACUUCGGGAUAAGCCUGGGAAACUGGGUCUAAUACCGGAUAGGAGCCAUUUUUAGUGUGAUGGUUGGAAAGUUUUUUCGGUGUAGGAUGAGCUCGCGGCCUAUCAGCUUGUUGGUGGGGUAAUGGCCUACCAAGGCGGCGACGGGUAGCCGGCCUGAGAGGGUGGACGGCCACAUUGGGACUGAGAGAAGGCCCAGACUCCUACGGGAGGCAGCAGGGGGGAAUAUUGCACAAGUGGCGCAAGCCGGAUGCAGCGACGCCGCGGGGGGGAGGACGGCCUUAGGGUUGUAAACGCAUUUCGCUAGGGACGAAGCUUUUUGUGACGGUACCUAGAGAAGAAGCACCGGCUAACUACGUG